CCUAUGGGUGGCAGCAGUGAGGAAUAUUGGUCAAUGGCCGAGAGGCUGAACCAGCCAAGUCGCGUGAGGGAAGACGGCCCUACGGGUUGUAAACCUCUUUUGUCGGGGAGCAAAGCGAGUCACGUGUGACUCAUUGAGAGUACCCGAAGAAAAAGCAUCGGCUAACUCCGUGCCAGCAGCCGCGGUAAUACGGAGGAUGCGAGCGUUAUCCGGAUUUAUUGGGUUUAAAGGGUGCGUAGGCGGGCAUUUAAGCCGGCGGUCAAAUGUCGGGGCUCAACCCCGGCCUGCCGUCGGAACUGGGUGCCUUGAGUGGGCGAGAAGUAUGCGGAAUGCGUGGUGUAGCGGUGAAAUGCUUAGAUAUCACGAAGAACUCCGAUUGCGAAGGCAGUUCACUGGACUGCAACUGACACUGAGGCUCGAAAGUGUGGGUAUCAAACAGGAUUAGAUACCCCAGUAGUC
rnacentral:rRNA from 1 species